rnacentral:rRNA from 1 species
UACGAAGGUGGCAAGCGUUGUUCGGAUUUACUGGGCGUACAGGGAGCGUAGGCGGUUGGAUAAGCCCUCCGUGAAAUCUCCAGGCUUAACCUGGAAAGUGCAGAGGGGACUGUUCAGCUAGAGGAUGGGAGAGGAGCGCGGAAUUCCCGGUGUAGCGGUGAAAUGCGUAGAGAUCGGGAGGAAGGCCGGUGGCGAAGGCGGCGCUCUGGAACAUUUCUGACGCUGAGGCUCGAAAGCUAGGGGAGCAAACGGG